CAAUAGCGUAUAUUUAAGUUGUUGCAGUUAAAAAGCUCGUAGUUGGAUUUCGGAUGGGAUUUGCCGGUCCGUCGUUACGAUGUGCACUGGCCAGUCCUAUCUUGUUGUCGGGGACUAGCUCCUUGGAUUCACUUCCUGGGACUAGGAGCUGACGAGGUUACUUUGAGUAAAUUAGAGUGUUCAAAGCAAGCCUACGCUCUGAAUACAUUAGCAUGGAAUAACACGAUAGGACUCUGGCUUAUCUUGUUGGUCUGUGAGACCAGAGUAAUGAUUAAGAGGGACAGUCGGGGACAUUCGAAUUUCAUUGUCAGAGGUGAAAUUCUUGGAUUUAUGAAAGACGAACUUCUGCGAAAGCAUUUGUCAAGGAUGUUUUCAUUAA
rnacentral:rRNA from 1 species